UAUGCAACUUAGAAAAGCUUCUACAAGUCAAGGACUGUGAUACUUGAUUAUACAUUACCUGAGACUUCAUUAAUAAGGAUAUUUUUAAGGCUGGCUUAAGUUAAAUAGAAUUGAUCCUGUCUUUGAGAAGAGAGAAGGACUAAACAAUCACUUAAAAGGUCUUCAGUUCAUAAUGUUCUUUCUUUAUAGCUGUGAUGAAUUUUUUGUGGUGAAUACCUACUAAGAUAUGUAUCCAUACGUAUUUAUAUAUGAUGUAAAUGCUAUAUAAAUAUUAUAUAUAUGCGUUAUAUAUAUGUAAUAUAUAUACAUCAUAUAUAUACCAAAAGCAUGUGUCUUGCCUAUAGUUUCUUUCAGAAAAUUUAGGAAACUAAAAUUCCCAAGGGACCCCAUGCUGGAUGGUUAUAGCCUUUCUUUUUUGUCUUUAUUUUAAAGAUAAAAAAGUUUUCUGGUAAUGGCCCAGAUUGUUUUUGCCUUGCAAUUUUCAAAUGCUUUGGAUUUCCUGGAAGUGGAAAGGCUUCCAUAAAGAAAUUUGUGAUCUAUAAACGAUGCAUUUUUCAAUAGUUGUUUUUGUCUCUUUGGAAAGAAGCCAAACUCUUCAAGAUCAACAUGAGAUAUAAUCACAGAAUAACUGGGGAGAAAAAAUAAAUAAUCUAAUGUAUUACCCUGACACAAAGCUGAAUUAAUUCUCUAUGUCCUCUGCUUUUCAGAUAUUCAUACAGUCUGCUCUUUAUACGGAUACAGUGAUGUAACUCCAAAACCUCCCAAGUUGUCCUCUCCACUUCAAUCAUCUCUUCUUCUAGCUAACUCACAAUUUUCAGAUGUCUCUGAUCUGGGAGAGGAAUAAAAUUCACUAUUACCUUUUAAAAGGAACCAGGUAACUACAGAAUUGACACCACAAAUUAUGACAACUGGAAGAUUUGUUGAAAGGUAAGUCUGCAUGCAUUUUGUUUUAUUUUUUAUUUAUUUUUUUAAAAUUUCCUGUAAAGAGUUUUAUUUCAGCACCAUUUUUUAAAAUUAUUAUUUAUUUUCCAGUAAAGUACUGACAAUAAUAAACAG
rnacentral:lncRNA from 1 species